AGUCGAACGGAAAGGNCCUUCGGGGUACUCGAGUGGCGAACGGGUGAGUAACACGUGGGUGAUCUGCCCUGCACUUUGGGAUAAGCCUGGGAAACUGGGUCUAAUACCGAAUACACCUUGCUGGUUGCAUGACCUGGUGGGGGAAAGCUUUUGCGGUGUGGGAUGGGCCCGCGGCCUAUCAGCUUGUUGGUGAGGUUAUGGCUUACCAAGGCGACGACGGGUAGCCGGCCUGAGAGGGUGACCGGCCACACUGGGACUGAGAUACGGCCCAGACUCCUACGGGAGGCAGCAGUGGGGAAUAUUGCACAAUGGGCGCAAGCCUGAUGCAGCGACGCCGCGUGAGGGAUGACGGCCUUCGGGUUGUAAACCUCUUUCAGCAGGGACGAAGCGCAAGUGACGGUACCUGUAGAAGAAGGACCGGCCAACUACGUGCCAGCAGCCGCGGUAAUACGUAGGGUCCGAGCGUUGUCCGGAAUUACUGGGCGUAAAGAGCUCGUAGGUGGUUUGUCGCGUUGUUCGUGAAAACUCACAGCUCAACUGUGGGCGUGCGGGCGAUACGGGCAGACUGGAGUACUGCAGGGGAGACUGGAAUUCCUGGUGUAGCGGUGGAAUGCGCAGAUAUCAGGAGGAACACCGGUGGCGAAGGCGGGUCUCUGGGCAGUAACUGACGCUGAGGAGCGAAAGCGUGGGGAGCGAACAGGAUUAGAUACCCUGGUAGUCCACGCCGUAAACGGUGGGUACUANGUGUGGGUUUCCUUCCUUGGGAUCCGUGCCGUAGCUAACGCAUUAAGUACCCCGCCUGGGGAGUACGGCCGCAAGGCUAAAACUCAAAGAAAUUGACGGGGGCCCGCACAAGCGGCGGAGCAUGUGGA
rnacentral:rRNA from 1 species